rnacentral:rRNA from 1 species
GAUGAACGCUGGCGGCGUGCCUAAUACAUGCAAGUCGAGCGAACAGAUGAGGAGCUUGCUCCUCUGACGUUAGCGGCGGACGGGUGAGUAACACGUGGAUAACCUACCUAUAAGACUGGGAUAACUUCGGGAAACCGGAGCUAAUACCGGAUAAUAUAUUGAACCGCAUGGUUCAAUAGUGAAAGACGGUUUUGCUGUCACUUAUAGAUGGAUCCGCGCCGCAUUAGCUAGUUGGUAAGGUAACGGCUUACCAAGGCAACGAUGCGUAGCCGACCUGAGAGGGGGAUCGGCCACACUGGAACUGAGACACGGUCCAGACUCCUACGGGAGGCAGCAGUAGGGAAUCGUCCGCAAUGGGCGAAAGCCUGACGGAGCAACGCCGCGUGAGUGAUGAAGGUCUUCGGAUCGUAAAACUCUGUUAUUAGGGAAGAACAAAUGUGUAAGUAACUAUGCACGUCUUGACGGUACCUAAGCAGAAAGCCACGGCUAACUACGU